CACUCCUGCGGGAGGCAGCAGUGGGGAAUUUUGGACAAUGGGCGAAAGCCUGAUCCAGCAAUGCCGCGUGAGUGAAGAAGGCCUUCGGGUUGUAAAGCUCUUUUGUCAGGGAAGAAACGGUGAGAGCUAAUAUCUUUUGCUAAUGACGGUACCUGAAGAAUAAGCACCGGCUAACUACGUGCCAGCAGCCGCGGUAAUACGUAGGGUGCAAGCGUUAAUCGGAAUUACUGGGCGUAAAGCGUGCGCAGGCGGUUUUGUAAGUCUGAUGUGAAAUCCCCGGGCUCAACCUGGGAAUUGCAUUGGAGACUGCAAGGCUAGAAUCUGGCAGAGGGGGGUAGAAUUCCACGUGUAGCAGUGAAAUGCGUAGAUAUGUGGAGGAACACCGAUGGCGAAGGCAGCCCCCUGGGUCAAGAUUGACGCUCAUGCACGAAAGCGUGGGGAGCAAACAGGAUUAGAAACCCUGGUAGUCCCAUGAU
rnacentral:rRNA from 1 species